UACGUAGGGUGCAGGCGUUAAUCGGAAUUACUGGGCGUAAAGCGUGCGCAGGCGGUUUGCUAAGACAGGUGUGAAAUCCCCGGGCUUAACCUGGGAACUGCCUUUGUGACUGCAUGGCUAGAGUGCGGCAGAGGGGGAUGGAAUUCCGCGUGUAGCAGUGAAAUGCGUAGAUAUGCGGAGGAACACCGAUGGCGAAGGCAAUCCCCUGGGCCUGCACUGACGCUCAUGCACGAAAGCGUGGGGAGCAAACAGG
rnacentral:rRNA from 1 species